CAGAAGCAUGACAAAUGAGCAGAGGGGUUUAACAAUCUUGUUUGCUAGUAUGUCAUCAUCCUUUAUUCAAAGGGUACAGACCUCUCCUCUGACAGCCUGGUGGAGACUCCAAAAUCACAAGAGAACAGUAAGCAAACUCUUCUGAGCUCAGAGUGCAGAAAAAAGGGGAGACAGACAGCAAAAGUGAAACCAUCCAUUUCCUGACUGAUAGAAAUGUGCGUAUGAUACACAUGAAGUGCCUGUGCCCAAGUUCAAAGCUCCUACUUAAGAGAUCGUGUCUGCUGAUAAUGAAUGAAUCUCUCUGUCCACAGCAAGAUCCUUGCUGCCCCCCGUAAAAAAGCAGCUCUCUAAAUCAGACGCAUGCAGGAAUCGUUCAACAAAGAACAGCUCUCUUCUUGCUUUCAGACACCAAGCUCCCCUACCAAAAGGCAGCUUUGCGCACAGAGACAUCCAUCACAACUGUGCUCUUUGGCUUAUUGGCAAGCUCCUCUUGGUCUCAUCCACUGGAAGAGAGCCCUUCCCCCAAGUCAGGCGGUUGAGCCUCCUUUUGAACUGCAGGAAUUAAGAUGUAAAAGGACACCAGGAGAGAAAGCAGCACACAGCAUCACAUUGUGACUAACAAUAGCAUUGACUUUGCUGUGACAGAACAGAGCCCACAAGAACCAGACUAUUUCACUUGGGUAACUAGAUAUUACUUAGAAGCAGCUUGGAGAUGACAUGUUCCACUUGCAGCGGUGACAUUAACACAGUAGAUGCAGAAGGAAAGGACCAAAACAUGGGACCCGGAACCUCCAUGGCACACUGACGUUGAGAACUCCAUGAUCCAGCAAGGCUCCGUGGUCUUCUCAUUCCCAGAGAGAGAACACCUCACUGCAUGAUCACCAAGAAACCAAAGAAAUUCAGUGCAAAAGAGCUUUUCGAUGUAACAUUCUGGCAGAGGAUUUAAAUGCAUGUAAGCCAUGAAUUUCAAAGUUAUGGCCCUGCCUGUAACCACACUGAACAUAUACUGUAUGGAAUAAGAUGAGAUUUAGGGGCAGACUUUCAAAAGUGCUCAACACCCACAACUGGGUCCAGAUACUCACAAGAUGCUGGCGCAUUGAAUGGGAGCUGAACUCAUAAUCUGGGCUGAGAGCCUAACCCCCUGGUCCAAGUCGGGCAAAAGGGCCAGAGCAGCAUCAAGAGGCUACAAAAGCCCUAGUUCUCACCAGGGAUCUGCUUACAAGGCCUGGUGUGAGAAGUGUGUCGGGACUGGUAGGUGCAUUGAAGAUUCCGGAUCCCUUUAAGUUAGACAGGCCCCAGGGAGUUACAUCAGGUGCCUCUUCAGCCGCCGGAGCAGCACGAGAUCGGGAAGGCUCAAAGGCAGCCCCUCCCCAUCAGUAAUUUUGCAGACAUGCAUGGGGACAGAGUUCCAACGUAAACCAAAGCUUUGCAUUUCAAUUCUGAAUCAUAACGACACUAUGGGUUUUUGUACGAAAUAGAAAAAUUCUUUCAGCUCAGUCUCAAUAGGUCAGAUGUAAAUGAACUGUGAAGGUUUAAAAUGCAAAAGUUACAAAUUUAAGAAGUCAUCAAAAAAAUUCCCUCAAAGUGCAUGAACACUAUCACCUACCACUGCUUUUUUCCUUAGAAUUUGAAGAAUGGGAGGUGUACUGAAAAGUAGCAUUCUUAUAUCCAUAAGAAUGUAUAGCAUGCUGGAUCUCCUACUUGGUUUUCGCUGCUGUACCUUGAAAUCAGUGGAUUUGCCUUUAAACAGAAAUACGUACUGUCUAGGGUCACCAACCCUCCAGGAUUGUCCUGGAGUCUCCAGAAAUUAAAGAUUAAUCUUUAAUUAAAGAUUAUGUCAUGUGAUGAAACCUCCAGGAAUACGUCCAAUCAAAAUUGGCAACCCUUGUGUCCAGUAGUAUCAGGAUUGGACCCUACGUUAUAAAUUACUGGAGAGAAAUGUCUAAAGGAAAUGAAAGGCGAUAUCAAUUGCAAUCAUCAAUAAAACUUAUCUGAAAUAUCUAUGAUUUCCAAUAGCAUUCAUA